CUUUUAGGGAGACCUACCCAACUUUGAAAUCGAGGACACACAGUUAAUAGAUACAAAGAUGGUCAUUCCUAGGUCGGUCGCAGGGACUUGUUGAAGCUUUCAAACUAUGAUUUGGUUCGUUUAUGGGCUAUUAGCUCAGGUGGUUAGAGCGCACCCCUGAUAAGGGUGAGGUCCCUGGUUCGAGUCCAGGAUGGCCCACCUGAAUCAAUGCAAAAUUAAAAAUUCAAAAUUCAAAAUUAAGAAAUUGUUUUUGAAUUUUGCAUUUAGAAUUUUGAAUUGUGUUGGGGGGUUUAGCUCAGUUGGUAGAGCGCCUGCUUUGCAAGCAGGAUGUCAGCGGUUCGAGUCCGCUAACCUCCACCUUGAUAGCGUUAGCUAUAAAAAGAAUGGAUUAGAUUCAGCAACAAGGCUGUGAGCCAGACUGCUGGGUUAGUUAUCCAGCCAGAACCUUGAAAACUGCAUAGGAAUGCGAAGCAGGCAGACACAGACAUUGAUUAUUGGAAGUGUUUGCAAUGAAUAGU
rnacentral:misc_RNA from 1 species